GAGGGUAUAGCUCAGUGGUAGAAUGUGCACUUAGUAUGUGUGAGGUCCUGGGUUCAAUCCCCAGUACCUCCA
rnacentral:tRNA from 1 species